rnacentral:rRNA from 1 species
UGGGGAAUAUUGGACAAUGGGCGAAAGCCUGAUCCAGCAACGCCGCGUGAGGGAUGACUGCCUUCGGGUUGUAAACCUCUUUCAGCAGGGACGAAGCGCAAGUGACGGUACCUGCAGAAGAAGCACCGGCCAACUACGUGCCAGCAGCCGCGGUAAUACGUAGGGUGCGAGCGUUGUCCGGAAUUAUUGGGCGUAAAGGGCUCGUAGGCGGUCUGUCGCGUCGGGAGUGAAAACUCAGGGCUUAACCCUGAGCCUGCUUCCGAUACGGGCAGACUAGAGGUAUGCAGGGGAGAACGGAAUUCCUGGUGUAGCGGUGGAAUGCGCAGAUAUCAGGAGGAACACCGGUGGCGAAGGCGGUUCUCUGGGCAUUACCUGACGCUGAGGAGCGAAAGUGUGGGGAGCGAACA